rnacentral:lncRNA from 1 species
UCAUCAGAAGAUCCAGAAUAAUAAAGUGCAUGCUUAAUUAUCGGAAGAAGUUGAAUCAAGAAGCUUGUUAACUCAAUCUUGCAUGCUUAUAAAGUAAUUACAGUAGAUUGGAGUAAGGAUUGGAUCCAGCACUGAAAGACUUCAAGAAGUGGCUUAUUUUUAAUUAAAUUAACUUAAGAAAUAUUGUUUUUGGGUUUAUCCCGUAUUAAAAGCUACCUUUGUAAAACAUG